rnacentral:rRNA from 1 species
ACGUACACUCCUACGGGAGGCAGCAGUGGGGAAUAUUGGACAAUGGGGGCAACCCUGAUCCAGCCAUGCCGCGUGAGUGAUGAAGGCCCUAGGGUUGUAAAGCUCUUUUGUGCGGGAAGAUAAUGACGGUACCGCAAGAAUAAGCCCCGGCUAACUUCGUGCCUGCAGCCGCGGUAAUACGAAGGGGGCUAGCGUUGCUCGGAAUCACUGGGCGUAAAGGGUGCGUAGGCGGGUCUUUAAGUCAGGGGUGAAAUCCUGGAGCUCAACUCCAGAACUGCCUUUGAUACUGAGGAUCUUGAGUCCGGAAGAGGUGAGUGGAACUGCGAGUGUAGAGGUGAAAUUCGUAGAUAUUCGCAAGAACACCAGUGGCGAAGGCGGCUCACUGGUCCGGUACUGACGCUGAGGCACGAAAGCGUGGGGAGCAAACAGGAUUAGAAACCCCAGUAGUCCCAUGA